rnacentral:lncRNA from 1 species
CUAGCACUAACAACAAAGCAGUGGACGAGGUGGUAAAUGCUGCACUCAUGCAGUGUCCUGAACUUUGUGUUGCUUUUUCUCUAACAAUCUUUUUCAUUUGGCCAGGGUAUUUGUUUUUAAUACUGCUUAUCUCAGUUCAUAAGAACAAAUAAUUGUCACCCAACCCGCAUGGCUUCUUCCUAGGAGUUUCUUUGAGUUGCUUCUGUCUGAGAACUGGCCUUUUGGGCCUGGUAGCUACUUUGCCAGACCAUAAUUACUGCUUAGCACGUG